CAGUAGCCGCGGGAAUACGUAGGGCGCAAGCGUUGUCCGGAAUUAUUGGGCGUAAAGAGCUCGUAGGCGGUCUGUCGCGUCUGGUGUGAAAUCCCGAGGCUCAACCUCGGGCUUGCAUCGGGUACGGGCAGACUAGAGUGCGGUAGGGGAGACUGGAAUUCCUGGUGUAGCGGUGGAAUGCGCAGAUAUCAGGAGGAACACCGAUGGCGAAGGCAGGUCUCUGGGCCGCAACUGACGCUGAGGAGCGAAAGCAUGGGGAGCGAACAGGAUUAGAUACCCCUGUAGUCCCUGUCUCUUAUAU
rnacentral:rRNA from 1 species